GACGGAGCGACGUCGCGUGUCCGAAGAAGCCCUUCGGGGUGUAAAGGACUUUUCUAGGGGAAGAAUUAUGACGUUACCCUAGGAAUAAGCCACGGCUAACCUCGUGCCAGCAGCCGCGGUAAUACGAGGGUGGCAAGCGUUACCCGGAAUCACUGGGCAUAAAGCGUCUGUAGGUGGUUUUGAAAGUUUGUUGUUAAAUCCUAAGGCUUAACCUUAGGGCCGCAGCAAAUACUUCAAGACUAGAGGAAGAGAGAGGUAGAUGGAACUCCUAGUGUAGCAAUGAAAUGCGUUGAUAUUAGGGGGAACACCAAAGGCGAAGGCAGUCUACUGGCUUUUUCCUGACACUGAGAGACGAAAGCGUGGGUAGCGAAGGGGAUUAGAUACCCCCGUAGUCCACGCCGUAAACGAUGGAUACUAGACAUAGGGAGAAUCGACCCUUUUUGUGUCGUAGCAAAUGCGUUAAGUAUCCCGCCUGGGGAGUACGGCCGCAAGGCUAAAACUCAAAAGAAUUGACGGGGACCCGCACAAGCGGUGGAGCAUGUGGUUUAAUUCGACAAUAAACGAAGAACCUUACCAAGGUUAGAAAUCUAGCUGCAAAC
rnacentral:rRNA from 1 species